rnacentral:rRNA from 1 species
GAAGGGGGCUAGCGUUGUUCGGAAUUACUGGGCGUAAAGGGCGCGUAGGCGGCCUGUUUAGUCAGAAGUGAAAGCCCCGGGCUCAACCUGGGAAUAGCUUCUGAUACUGGCAGGCUUGAGUUCCGGAGAGGAUGGUGGAAUUCCCAGUGUAGAGGUGAAAUUCGUAGAUAUUGGGAAGAACACCGGUGGCGAAGGCGGCCAUCUGGACGGACACUGACGCUGAGGCGCGAAAGCGUGGGGAGCAAACAGAAUUAGAUACCCUGGUAGUCCACGCCGUAAACGAUGAAUGCUAGACGUCGGGGUGCAUGCACUUCGGUGUCGCCGCUAACGCAUUAAGCAUUCCGCCUGGGGAGUACGGCCGCAAGGCUA